rnacentral:rRNA from 1 species
GAUGAACGCUGGCGGCGUGCCUAAUACAUGCAAGUCGAGCGAACAGACGAGGAGCUUGCUCCUCUGACGUUAGCGGCGGACGGGUGAGUAACACGUGGAUAACCUACCUAUAAGACUGGGAUAACUUCGGGAAACCGGAGCUAAUACCGGAUAAUAUAUUGAACCGCAUGGUUCAAUAGUGAAAGACGGUUUUGCUGUCACUUAUAGAUGGAUCCGCGCCGCAUUAGCUAGUUGGUAAGGUAACGGCUUACCAAGGCGACGAUGCGUAGCCGACCUGAGAGGGUGAUCGGCCACACUGGAACUGAGACACGGUCCAGACUCCUAAGGGAGGCAGCAGUAGGGAAUCGUCCGCAAUGGGCGAAAGCCUGACGGAGCAACGCCGCGUGAGUGAUGAAGGUCUUCGGAUCGUAAAACUCUGUUAUUAGGGAAGAACAAAUGUGUAAGUAACUAUGCACGUCUUGACGGUACCAAAUCAGAAAGCCACGGCUAACUACGUG